GAUGAACGCUGGCGGCGUGCCUAAUACAUGCCAGUCGAGCGAACAGAUGAGGAGCUUGCUCCUCUGACGUUAGCGGCGGACGGGUGAGUAACACGUGGAUAACCUACCUAUAAGACUGGGCUAACUUCGGGAAACCGGAGCUCAUACCGGAUAAUAUAUUGAACCGCAUGGUUCAAUAGUGAAAGACGGUUUUGCUGUCACUUAUAGAUGGAUCCGCGCCGCAUUAGCUAGUUGGUAAGGUAAAGGCUUACCAAGGCGACGAUGCGUAGCCGACCUGAGAGGGUGAUCGGCCACACUGGAACUGAGACACGGUCCAGACUCCUACGGGAGGCAGCAGUAGGGAAUCUUCCGCAAUGGGCGAAAGCCUGACGGAGCAACGCCGCGUGAGUGAUGAAGGUCUUCGGAUCGUAAAACUCUGUUAUUAGGGAAGAACAAAUGUGUAAGUAACUAUGCACGUCUUGACGGUACCUAAUCAGAAAGCCACGGCUAACUACGUG
rnacentral:rRNA from 1 species